rnacentral:rRNA from 1 species
CUAACACAUGCAAGUCGAGCGGUAGCAUGGUUAGUAGCAAUACUAACUGAUGACGAGCGGCGGACGGGUGAGGAACACGUAGGAACCUGCCCAAGAGAGGGGGAUAACUAAGGGAAACUUUAGCUAAUACCGCAUAAUUCUCUGAGGAGAAAAGUUGCCCGUAAGGGUAGCGCUUUUGGAGGGGCCUGCGUCCGAUUAGUUAGUUGGUGAGGUAAUGGCUCACCAAGACUGUGAUCGGUAACUGGUCUGAGAGGACGACCAGUCACACUGGGACUGAGACACGGCCCAGACUCCUACGGGAGGCAGCAGUGGGGAAUCUUGGACAAUGGGGGCAACCCUGAUCCAGCGAUGCCGCGUGGGUGAAGAAGGCCUUCGGGUUGUAAAGCCCUUUAGGCUGGGAAGAAGUUUAUGGGAUGAAUAAUCCUGUAAAUUGACGGUGCCAGCAGAAUAAGCACCGGCAAACUCUGUGCCAGCAGCAGCCGCGG